CUACGGGGUGCUGCAGUGAGGAAUAUUGCACAAUGGAGGAAACUCUGAUGCAGCAACGCCGCGUGGAGGAUGACGCAUUUCGGUGUGUAAACUCCUUUUAUAUGUCAAGAAAAUGACGGUAGCAUAUGAAUAAGCUCCGGCUAACUCCGUGCCAGCAGCCGCGGUAAUACGGAGGGAGCAAGCGUUACUCGGAAUCAUUGGGCGUAAAGGACGCGUAGGCGGGAUAGGAAGUCAGGUGUGAAAUCCUAUGGCUCAACCAUAGAACUGCACUUGAAACUUCUAACCUAGAGUAUGGGAGGGGAAGAUGGAAUUAGUGGUGUAGGGGUAAAAUCCGUAGAUAUCACUAGGAAUACCAAAAGCGAAGGCGAUCUUCUGGAACAAUACUGACGCUAAGGCGUGAAAGCGUGGGGAGCAAACAGGAUUAGAUACCCGAGUAGUC
rnacentral:rRNA from 1 species